GACGAACGCUGGCGGCGUGCUUAACACAUGCAAGUCGAGCGGUAAGGCCCUUUCGGGGGUACGACGAGCGGCGAACGGGUGAGUAACACGUGGGUGACCUGCCCUUACGCUCUGGGAUAAGCCUGGGAAACUGGGUCUAAUACCGGAUAUGACUCCAUAACGCAUGUUGUGGGGUGGAAAGCCUUGUGCGGCUAGGGAUGGGCCCGCGGCCUAUCAGCUUGUUGGUGGGGUGAUGGCCACCAAGGCGACGACGGGUAGCCGGCCUGAGAGGGCGACCGGCCACACUGGGGACUGAGACACGGCCCAGACUCCUACGGGAGGGCAGCAGUGGGGAAUCUUGCGCAAUGGGCGAAAGCCUGACGCAGCGACGCCGCGUGGGGA
rnacentral:rRNA from 1 species